rnacentral:rRNA from 1 species
GUGGGGAAUUUUGCGCAAUGGGCGAAAGCCUGACGCAGCGACGCCGCGUGAGGGAUGAAGGUUCUCGGAUCGUAAACCUCUGUCAGGAAGGAUUAAUUGUGCGGACGUGAAUACCGCCCGCACUUGACUUAACUUCCAAAGGAAGCCCCGGCUAACUACGUGCCAGCAGCCGCGGUAAUACGUAGGGGGCAAGCGUUACUCGGAUUUACUGGGCGUAAAGAGAAUUAAGGCGGUCAUGUAAGUCAGUGGUGAAAUCCCUCGGCUCAACUGAGGAAUUGCCUUUGAUACUGCGUGACUUGAGGACAGGAGAGGAAGGCGGAAUUCCCGGUGUAGCGGUGGAAUGCGUAGAUAUCGGGAGGAACACCUGAGGCGAAGGCGGCCUUCUGGACUGCUCCUGACGCUGAUAUUCGAAAGCUAGGGGAGCAAACAGGAUUAGAAACCCUAGUAGUCC